UUUUCUGCACGUAUGAGAUGGUUGAAAGGGAAGUGAGGGUGACGUACAUUCCGCCGCCAGGAUACGCGCGGCGCGAGCACAAAGUUUUCAAAGCGCCCCUCAGGAAAGCCGAGUCGAUUUUCCAGGUGAAUUUCUUCUCCAGCCAGGCUCAGGUCGGUUGGUAUGCCCGCACUGUUGGAAGAAGGCGCCGUUCACCGGAAUGCUCCAGACGCGUCCCACCUUUUGUUUUAUUAGUUGUUUAUUCCCGUGCUGCCCGUUGAUAUCGUGUUUCCGGCCCGACUGGAAGUUCCGUGUUCGUUGCCCGUAUUGUAAAAAAACCUGCUUGGUUUUCGACUCGGAUACGAAUUACACAGCAAUUCCAACGUAGCUUCAUAUUUUUAUUAAUUAAAUGUAUCAUUAAUAAAGCGAAAU